AGUGAACGCUGGCGGUAGGCCUAACACAUGCAAGUCGAACGGCAGCACAGUAAGAGCUUGCUCUUACGGGUGGCGAGUGGCGGACGGGUGAGGAAUACAUCGGAAUCUACUUUUUCGUGGGGGAUAACGUAGGGACACUUACGCUAAUACCGCGUACGACCUACGGGUGAAAGCAGGGGAUCUUCGGACCUUGCGCGAUUGAAUGAGCCGAUGUCGGAUUAGCUAGUUGGCGGGGUAAAGGCCCACCAAGGCGACGAUCCGUAGCUGGGCUGAGAGGAUGAUCAGCCACACUGGAACGGAGACGCGGUCCAGACUCCUCCGGGAGGCAGCAGUGGGGAAUAUUGGACAAUGGGCGCAAGCCUGAUCCAGCCAUACCGCGUGGGUGAAAGAGGCCUUCGGGUUGGAGAGCCCCUUUGUUGGGAAAGAAAAGCAGCAGGUUAAUACCCCGCUGUUCUGACGGUACCCAAAGAAUAAGCACCGGCUAACUUCGUG
rnacentral:rRNA from 1 species